AUACGGAGGGGACAAGCGUUAUUCGGAAUUAUUGGGCGUAAAGGGUGCGCAGGCGGCAGAUUAAGUGAGAAGUGAAAGCCCACGGCUUAACCGUGGAACGGCUUCUCAUACUGGUCAGCUUGAGUAUGGGAGAGGGAAGUGGAAUUUCCGGUGUAGCGGUGAAAUGCGUAGAGAUCGGAAGGAACACCAGUGGCGAAGGCGGCUUCCUGGACCAUGACUGACGCUGAGGCACGAAAGCGUGGGGAGCAAACAGGAUUAGAAACCCCAGUAGUCC
rnacentral:rRNA from 1 species